GUCGUUACCCAAGUAACCACAAGCAUUAUAUCAUUACAGUAUAUCAAUUCGAUAUAAGCAUAUCAAAUGCCAAAUUGCAUUAUAUACACAGUAACCGUGCAAUUGUGCCUUAGAUUCACUUUAUGAAUGCCUAAUUGCAUCACAUUAAUUCUACACUCAUCUGUGCAUUAAAAGUUGAUAUACCAUCAUCGAAUAAUGUUUUAUUGCAUUGCACGAACAAUGCUUCAUUGUUACUGUGCCAUUACCAAAUGCUAAAACUCAUUAUUUGUAAGUAUUUGUAAUUAAAACAUUAAAAUGUCGUCACAAUCGCGAAAAAAGUGGAAAACCGUCUUAAAAAGCGGUAAUUUUAAACGUAAAGUGAAUAAAUAUCGUUCCGCAGUGUCACAGGCAAAUUCCAAAAACAGUAUCCGAUUUCCAGAGAUGAACAUACAGCGUAAAAUACUGAAGCCAAAGUCGUCUGCAAGCCAUUCACCAACAUCAAGUUUUUUGCAUGCUACCGAUGAUGAAACAGAGUGCAGCCUAGAAAUACUGAGAGACGGAUUAGACGCAAGCAUCAAACCGGAGGACUGCGGUUUGCUGUCUGCAGGACACAGUGAAUCUAAGCUAAAUGAACCAUCGUUGGCAUUACCUAAUCGAGACAAUGAAGAUGAUGAUAGUAUUGAUAAUAAAAAUUAUGAUGUUUAUAAGGAAAUGAACCUUGAAAUGUUCUUGAAUAAGUGGAGCAUCGAUUACAGAAUUUCGCAUCGAGCUCUGAAACCGCUACUUCAAAAGUUGAACGAACAUCACCCGCAGUUGCCUGUUGAUCCUAGAUGAUUAUUAAGCACCCCACGAAAUAAACCUAAGAUCCUAACUAUCGAAGGUGGUUACUAUUGGCAUCACAGCAUUGAAUAUAGUUUACGUGCAUUCUACGAGCGACUAUCGGAACCAUGCACAGCAUCGAUCAAUAUUAACAUUGAUGGACUACCUUUAUUCAAAAAUGGGACAGCGCAAGUUUGGCCAAUACUGAUCAGCAUUACAGAGAGGGCCGAAAUUCCUCCCAUUAUAGCAGGAAUUUUUCACGGAAACAACAAGCCGAAAAGAGUCGAGGAAUUUUUAAAACCAUUCGUCGAGGAGAUAUUGCCAAUCAUAAGCGAUGGACUACUCAUAAAUAAUCAUAAGCUUACAGUGAAGAUCCGUUCCAUCAUAUGCGAUGCUUCAGCUAGAGCGUUUGUUAAAGGCGUUGCAAACUUUAAUUCUAUCAAUGGUUGUCUGAAGUGCUGCACCAUUGGUGAAUAUUCUAAGGAGCUUCGAACUACGAUUUUCCCUCAAUCAGUUGCUGAUCCUAGAACCGAUCACGGAUUCCGGACGAGGCUGUAUGGCAAACAUCACCAAGAUUACAAAAUAAGUGAGAAUAGAAAAGUCAUAAGAACACCAAUAGUAACACCACUCUUAAAAUUGCCUAUCGAUAUGAUUCGUGAUUUUAUCGUUUCGGACUGUCUCCAUCUCCUCCACUUGGGAGUGAUGAAAAAACUGCUUUUAACUUAUAAAGAAGGCAACAGUAAUGUUUGUAAAUGGUCACCAAAAACCAUAAAGGAACUAUCAGGUUUAUUAGUAGCUAUUAAACUGCCCAUCGAAAUACACCGUUCAAUACGAGGACUAGAUUACGUCAAUCAUUGGAAAGCCUCUGAGUUUGGCACAUUUUUGAAUUACAUAGGCAUAGUAGUCCUGAAAAGUUUUUUAGACGAAGAGCACUAUAAAAAAUUUGUUAGGCUUUUCUGUGCUACUGCAAUUUGUUCAACUGACUAUUAUCGACGUUUCCUACCAGUAGCAAAGAUUUUGUUCAGUCAAUUCAUUGAUGCAUAUCAUAAACUAAUUGGAUCGGUUACGAGUAACAUCCAUAAUUUAGUACAUGUAGUAGACGAGGUUGGGGGGAAAAGGUCCCCUCCCAUCAAUUUCAACUUAUCCUUUUGAGAAUCAUUUACAACAAAUCAAAAAGACUGUCCGAUCUGGUAGGCUUCCAUUGUCCCAAAUAAUUAACAGGAUGUCGGAAAAAGAUAAACAUAAUUAUAAGAAUUCCUCAGAUAACAAUACUUAUCCAUCAUUUAAAGAACCAUCAAAACAAGAUGAAUCACUUUAUCUAAGAAUUGCAAUUAGUUCAAAUUGUACUUUGCGAUACAAUGAUGUUGAUAAGUGGUUUUUGACCAAAACGCAACAGAUCGUUGCCAUGGAUUUUGCCACUUCGGAUGGUAUAUACGGUAAAGAAAUGAUUACAUCAAAAGGUCAUCUAUUUGAUGAUCCGUUAGAUUCUUCCUGCUUACAUGUACUUUCUAUUAGCGGCACACUUACGUUUAACGAUCAGAUAUUAUAUACCUUGAAUAAUACGUUUUGUAAGCUACUAACCGUAGUUAGUGGUAGUGAUACCGUUUUUCUACCAAUGCAUCACACGCUUCCAUCAAAUAUGCAAAUGUAAAGCCAGACGGUUACCUUUGAAAUAAGAUGUUACAUAUACAGAUAUAUACAGCGCAUUUCUAACUAAAUAUUGUUACUAAUUAUUUUAACUAAUUUUUGUCACUCCGAAAACAUAUCUCUUCCAUAUGAACACUAACAAUAAUUUGGAAGAAAUCAUAAAAAAUUUCUGGUCAUAUCCCAUUUAUUGUUAUCACACGCUAAAAUUUUCGUUGGAAC